rnacentral:rRNA from 1 species
ACGCGAAAGGCCCCUUCGGGGGCCGAGUAGAGUGGCGUCCGGGUGAGUAACACGUGGGUAAUCUACCUUCGGGUGGGGAAUAACAGCCGGAAACGGCUGCUAAUACCGCAUAAUGCAGCGGCACCUAAUGGUGACAGUUGUUAAAGCGGGGGAUCGUAAGACCUCGCGCCUGAAGAGGAGCCCGCGGCGGAUUAGCUAGUUGGCGGGGUAACGGCCCACCAAGGCGACGAUCCGUAGCCGGCCUGAGAGGGCGGUCGGCCACACUGGCACUGACACACGGGCCAGACUCCUACGGGAGGCAGCAGUCGGGAAUUUUGGGCAAUGGACGAAAGUCUGACGCAGCGACGCCGCGUGUGGGAUGACGGUCUUCGGAUUGUAAACCACUGUCGGGAGGGACGAAUACGCCGCAAGGCGGGUGACGGUACCUCCAAAGGAAGCACCGGC